CGCUGGCGGCAGGCCUAACACAUGCAAGUCGAGCGGAUGACGGGAGCUUGCUCCUUGAUUCAGCGGCGGACGGGUGAGUAAUGCCUAGGAAUCUGCCUGGUAGUGGGGGACAACGUUUCGAAAGGAACGCUAAUACCGCAUACGUCCUACGGGAGAAAGCAGGGGACCUUCGGGCCUUGCGCUAUCAGAUGAGCCUAGGUCGGAUUAGCUAGUUGGUGGGGUAAUGGCUCACCAAGGCGACGAUCCGUAACUGGUCUGAGAGGAUGAUCAGUCACACUGGAACUGAGACACGGUCCAGACUCCUACGGGAGGCAGCAGUGGGGAAUAUUGGACAAUGGGCGAAAGCCUGAUCCAGCCAUGCCGCGUGUGUGAAGAAGGUCUUCGGAUUGUAAAGCACUUUAAGUUGGGAGGAAGGGCAGUAAGCUAAUACCUUGCUGUUUUGACGUUACCGACAGAAUAAGCACCGGCUAACUCUGUGCCAGCAGCCGCGGUAAUACAGAGGGUGCAAGCGUUAAUCGGAAUUACUGGGCGUAAAGCGCGCGUAGGUGGUUCGUUAAGUUGGAUGUGAAAGCCCCGGGCUCAACCUGGGAACUGCAUCCAAAACUGGCGAGCUAGAGUACGGUAGAGGGUGGUGGAAUUUCCUGUGUAGCGGUGAAAUGCGUAGAUAUAGGAAGGAACACCAGUGGCGAAGGCGACCACCUGGACUGAUACUGACACUGAGGUGCGAAAGCGUGGGGAGCAAACAGGAUUAGAUACCCUGGUAGUCCACGCCGUAAACGAUGUCAACUAGCCGUUGGAAUCCUUGAGAUUUUAGUGGCGCAGCUAACGCAUUAAGUUGACCGCCUGGGGAGUACGGCCGCAAGGUUAAACUCAAUGAAUGACGGGGCCCGCACAAGCGGUGGAGCAUGUGGUUUAAUCGAGCACGCGAAGAACCUUACGGCUUGACAUGCAGAAACUUCAGAGAUGAUGGGCUUCGACUCUGACACGGUGCUGCAUGCUGUCGUCAGCUCGU
rnacentral:rRNA from 1 species